rnacentral:rRNA from 1 species
UAUACCCUACGGGAGGCAGCAGUAGGGAAUCUUCCACAAUGGGCGAAAGCCUGAUGGAGCAACGCCGCGUGGGUGAAGAAGGUCUUCGGAUCGUAAAACCCUGUUGUUAGAGAAGAAAGUGCGUGAGAGUAACUGUUUACGUUUCGACGGUAUCUAACCAGAAAGCCACGGCUAACUACGUGCCAGCAGCCGCGGUAAUACGUAGGUGGCAAGCGUUAUCCGGCUUUAUCGGGCGUAAAGGGAAUGCAGGCGGUCUUUUAAGUCUGAUGUGAAAGCCUUCGGCUUAA